UCAAGCCCUGCAAGUAGCCUUCAAGUUCUUCACAAGAGAUUGGCCCUCGCUGAUGUAAAACCUGAUGGUAAGUGCAAACAUUAUAACUCAUUCUGUAGGAUGGAGCUGUAUCUUAGAGUCUGACGAGCUUAACCAUUUAUUGCAGUCUGCCGGAAAAUUGCCCCCUACCUUUUAACUGUGCCUCAAUCUCUUUCGUGUGUUUCUCGUGUGAAUGGUUUCUUUAACACCUUGUAGAGACGAGUGAUUUGACACUGUUUUGGAGGUAUAUGUUUUUGGAGAUAUGUGACAGGGCCCUAGGGGGUAUACCCGAGUUUAUUUUUAUUGUUGAAUUGGAUAAAGCGUUCUCUAAGCUUCAAAAUGAUACCAAGAUCGACCUCCUAGCUAUUUUCUAUCGGGAGAUAUGUUCGAGGGAACGCUACGAAGGUAUUGCAACGCCCUCUUGAGUAAAUGACGCUCAAACGUCAUGAAAAUUGAAAUUCAAUUAUUGCCUUCCGGGCACUUCCGUAUACUCAUAAAGCUUCGUAAAAGAUGUUCUGGAGAAGACAAGUUAGUUAGAUGAAGGCUAGGCGUUCUAGGACUCUCUAGCUAGCUAGUAUAGCUAUGUAGCUGGAUUGCUUGGCACCUAGGAAGGAUCUUCGAAGAAAUAAAGAGGCAAAGACUCCCGUCGCUCGAAUGGUUGUUAUGGAGUGUUUUUAUGAGGAUAAAUGGCACGGGAUACGUACAUCUAAAGAAACAAGAGUGGAUCUACGCCAAGCUAGCUAGCUAGAUAGCUGCUCUUUCUAAUCUAUUUCUGUUGCUAAAUUAUGUUUGUUAAGAAGUGGAGCUAUAAUAUACCUGGCUCCUCUUGAUGA